UACGUAGGGUGCAAGCGUUAAUCGGAAUUACUGGGCGUAAAGCGUGCGCAGGCGGUGAUGUAAGACAGUUGUGAAAUCCCCCGGGCUCAACCUGGGAACUGCAUCUGUGACUGCAUCGCUGGAGUGCGGCAGAGGGGGAUGGAAUUCCGCGUGUAGCAGUGAAAUGCGUAGAUAUGCGGAGGAACACCGAUGGCGAAGGCAAUCCCCUGGGCCUGCACUGACGCUCAUGCACGAAAGCGUGGGGAGCAAA
rnacentral:rRNA from 1 species